GAUUGGUUCAUCCCUGCUAUUUACAGCAGUGCUUGUUCCCUUACCCUGGGAUGGAAUAGCAAUCCUAUUAUUCAACUACAAGUUCCAGAUGCUACAGGACAGACACAGAUACAACUGAACAUCUGAGAGUCAACCAGCCAUCAUUCUAUCAUACUUUUGGAAGCCCUUACUUCAGAUGCAUCCAGGACUGUGGAAGAGCCAGCUUCCCUUGCUGCUUGUGGCUGCAUGUGUUGAUUACUGCCAUCAGCAACACUGUGCCUGCCAGGGAGAUAACAUUCAAGUUGAAACUGGAUUUCUUGUUUGUAGUGGAGAAAAAAACAAACUUCAAAUACCAGACUUGCAUGCAAAAAGUACAGGGCACCAUGCGUGUUGUGCCUUUUAGAAAGUGAAGAAGUGUCUUAUGACUUACAAGUAUGCUUUACAUCCUUUCGAAAUGUGAAAAAGCUCAUCUAGAUGAUGAUUAAAGAAAAUUGUAACUGUAGGAAUUUGCUCCAGGAUGCAAAGCUUGCCUCAUAGUGGGGCAGAGCAUAAAUCGCUGAAUUUUGCCUCUUGGUAAAUUGUUUGAUCAUUUGCUGUGCCAUACACUUGGUCAUAACAUUAUUUCUGCCUGUGCCUCAGGCUCUUUCACAAAGAUCACUUCUUUCUUUUCAGAGCAAACAAAAAUGCAUGUUCUUGUGCUUUCCGUAAUGCUCUCUUGAUCAAAUAUGUCAAAUAAAAUACAUCUCUUAUCUUCUUCUGAGCUUCUGCUUUAUUCUGCUUUUAUUAUCCAAUGCUACAUUCUGUCAGUAUGUGGAAUACCAAAAAAUACACACUCCUUGCCUGUGAGAAAUGACGCUUUAAACAAAAGGAAUGCUGAAAGAAAUCAGAGCAGAAAUAAAA